rnacentral:tRNA from 1 species
GGACGGGUGGCCGAGUGGUUGAAGGCAGCGGUCUUGAAAACCGCCAGGGGUGCAAGCCUCUCGUGGGUUCGAAUCCCACCCCGUCCGCCA